rnacentral:misc_RNA from 1 species
UCCGGUUUGUCACCGGCAGUCCCAUUAGAGUGCUCAACUGAAUGUGGCAACUAAUGGCAAGGGUUGCGCUCGUUGCGGGACUUAACCCAACAUCUCACGACACGAGCUGACGACAGCCAUGCAGCACCUGUGUUACGGCUCCCUUUCGGGCACCCUCACAUCUCUAUGAGGUUCCGUACAUGUCAAGGGUAGGUAAGGUUUUUCGCGUUGCGUCGAAUUAAACCACAUCAUCCACCGCUUGUGCGGGCCCCCGUCAAUUCCCCAACAACCAGUUGACAUCGUUUAGGGCGUGGACUAC